rnacentral:rRNA from 1 species
UACGAAGGGUGCAAGCGUUAUCCGGAUUCACUGGGUUUAAAGGGUGCGUAGGCGGGCAGGUAAGUCAGUGGUGAAAUCUCCGAGCUUAACUCGGAAACUGCCGUUGAUACUAUUUGUCUUGAAUAUUGUGGAGGUAAGCGGAAUAUGUCAUGUAGCGGUGAAAUGCUUAGAUAUGACAUAGAACACCAAUUGCGAAGGCAGCUUACUACACAACGAUUGACGCUGAGGCACGAAAGCGUGGGGAUCAAACAGG